rnacentral:rRNA from 1 species
AUGGGGAGUACUCGCGACGGAGAUGCAUCAGCCAUUGCUCUGCUGCUGCUGUGCGCUUGCUUUCUCACCUCCCUUGCAUGUGACAGCACAGAUGGUGCCAAGUUUGGGUACACCGGUCCUCUCGGCCCCGAUCACUGGGGGGGAUUGGACCCCAACUUCACGCAGUGCGCCAUGGGGACGUACCAGUCUCCGGUUGAUAUCAAGACCAGAGACGUGGUUUACAACCCGAUGUUGGGGCCUCUUCACAGGGAGUACACCGCCGCGAAUGCUACCCUCGUAGACAACAUCUUCAACAUCGCGGUAAUUUUGCUCUCAACCAAACGCCGCUUACCUGCCUUCUGCGUUCAGCAGUUUGCGUUUCAUCCUCUCGCUGCGUUUCACUGUGUUCUUGUCCUGUGUGAUCGGUCGAUGCAGCUGCGGUGCGAGGAUGCUGCUGGGACGGUGCAGAUCGACGGGGUGAAGUACAAGCUGGACAACAUCCAUUGGCACUCUCCUUCAGAGCACACCAUCAACGGCGAGAGGUUUGCGGUGGAGCAGCACAUGGUUCACUUCAGUGACGACGGCAACAUAUCCGUCGUGUCGAUCCUGUACCGGCUCGGCAGGCCAGACCCUUUCCUCAUGCAGCUGCAGGAUAAGCUAUCGGAGCUCUACGUGGAGGCCUGCAGGGCCGAGAAAGGCGCUCCCAUCCCCGCCGGAGUCGUCAACAUGUGGCCGCUGCGGCGUUACGCCAACAUGUACUACCGGUACGUCGGGUCGCUGACCACGCCGCCGUGCACCGAGAACGUCAUCUGGAACAUCCACGGCAGGGUGAGGGAGAUGACGUUGGGGCAGGCUGCCGCCCUGAUCGCGCCCCUGGAGGAGGGCUACCGGCGCAACAACAGGCCGACGCAGCCGCUCAACGGCCGCACCGUGCAGUUCUACCGCAGGUUCUGGAAGAAGAAGGGGAACGGGAAGCCGUAA